UACGAAGGGGGCUAGCGUUGCUCGGAAUCACUGGGCGUAAAGGGUGCGUAGGCGGGGCUUUAAGUCAGGGGUGAAAUCCUGGAGCUCAACUCCAGAACUGCCUUUGAUACUGAAGAUCUUGAGUCCGGGAGAGGUAAGUGGAACUGCGAGUGUAGAGGUGAAAUUCGUAGAUAUUCGCAAGAACACCAGUGGCGAAGGCGGCUCACUGGCCCGGUACUGACGCUGAGGCACGAAAGCGUGGGGAGCAAACAGG
rnacentral:rRNA from 1 species